UACGUAGGGUGCAAGCGUUAUCCGGAAUUAUUGGGCGUAAAGAGCUCGUAGGCGGUUUGUCGCGUCUGCUGUGAAAACUGGGGGCUCAACCCCCAGCCUGCAGUGGGUACGGGCAGACUAGAGUGCGGUAGGGGAGAUUGGAAUUCCUGGUGUAGCGGUGGAAUGCGCAGAUAUCGGGAGGAACACCAGUGGCGAAGGCGAUCACCUGGGGUUGUUCUGACGCUGAGGAGCGAAAGCUAGGGGAGCAAACGGG
rnacentral:rRNA from 1 species